GACGUAGCUUAGCCUGGUAGAGCGCCUGCUUUGGGAGCAGGAGGUCGUGAGUUCGAAUCUCCCCGUC
rnacentral:tRNA from 1 species